GACGAACGCUGGCGGCGUGCUUAACACAUGCAAGUCGAACGGAAAGGCCCGGCUUUUGUGGGGUGCUCGAGGGGCGAACGGGUGAGUAACACGUGAGUAACCUGCCCUUGACUUUGGGAUAACUUCAGGAAACUGGGGCUAAUACCGGAUAGGAGCGCCUGCUGCAUGGUGGGGGUUGGAAAGUUUCGGCGGUUGGGGAUGGACUCGCGGCUUAUCAGCUUGUUGGUGGGGUAGUGGCUUACCAAGGCUUUGGCGGGUAGCCGGCCUGAGAGGGUGACCGGCAAAAUUGGGAGUGAGCUACGGCCCGGAGCACUGCGGGAGGUAGGAGUGGGGGAUAUUGCCCAAUGGGCGGAAGCCUGAUGCAGCAACGCCGCGUGCGGGAUGACGGCCUUCGGGUUGUAAACCGCUUUCGCCUGUGACGAAGCGUGAGUGACGGUAAUGGGUAAAGAAGCACCGGCUAACUCCGUG
rnacentral:rRNA from 1 species